rnacentral:rRNA from 1 species
CACGUAGGGGGCGAGCGUUGUCCGGAUUUAUUGGGCGUAAAGAGCUCGUAGGCGGUUCGCUAAGUCGGGUGUGAAACCUCCAGGCUCAACCUGGAGACGCCACCUGAUACUGGUGUGACUAGAGUCCGGUAGGGGAGUGUGGAGCUCCUGGUGUAGCGGUGAAAUGCGCAGAUAUCAGGAAGAACACCAGCGGCGAAGGCGGCACUCUGGGCCGGUACUGACGCUGAGGAGCGAAAGCGUGGGUAGCAAACAGG